GAACGCUAUAAGGAGGAAGAAAUUCUUGAUUAAUUUGCGAAAGCAAAAAGUCCGGCUAUAAUCUGAACGUCACCAACUGAGCUUGAAUAAUUUGAUUUCUCCUCCUUUCUCAAGCACUCUCCCGUAUAGUAUGGAAUCGAUGGUAAUUUUUCACCAGAUUGUACAUGAGAAAGGCGGCAGGACCAAUCAGUAUAAUAGAAUUAGGUUAUAGGGACACAUGUUUGGGACACUUUUGAGUAAGUGUCAUAUUUAUGCUAAAACUUAAAAACACAUCUACUAAUGUCUAAAUAUAAAGCCCAAUCCAACCAAAAAUAAAAGAUUACUCUACUCAACCCACCACACCAGUCCAUUUGACCCGAAUACAAAUAGAAAAGAAAAAAAAAAAAAGAAAAAUCAAUUACAAUAUUUUCUUUUCUCUUCACUCAAUCCACUGAAAUUCUAGACGAAGAGCCUUUACUGUCGUCCUCCUCCGCCACCGCAGCCAACGAGAUAGAGUUUCGACGGUUGCUAAAUGCUUAAAUAAGUAUUGGUAAAUUAGCAGCACUCUUUUAGGUUAUAGCGACACUCUUUAACUGUCACUAUAUAUCUAGCGACCCCACAUAUAGCAACACUUUUUAAAAGUGUCGGUAAUUUUAGCUAGCAGCAUUUUUUUGACAUGUACCUAUAUUUAAAAGUGUCGCUAUAGACCGUUUUUGUUAUAGUGAAUACCCAUUUUAUAUAAAGUUCAGAUUGACUUCCCAUCAAAGUUUGAUUAGGAUUUUAUUUAAUUUAAUUAAAUAGAUGAGAAAGGGAUAAGAUAUACCAUAUAAAGUAGUGCCAUAUCUAUUAGGAUUGACCUUAUCUAUAAUAAAACUAAAUUUAAAUAUGAUUAAUUGGGCCACAAUUAUGAAAAUCCUAACAAAUAGGCUUCAUGAUGUUAUUAAUUUAAAAAGCAAUUAAAAGAUUAAAUCUAUUAGUGGAUCCAAAUCUAAUUAACAAGCAUAAGUUUUUUAAGUUGAUUGAGUUCCAUUAGGGCUUAAGCUGAGCCAAAACUCUCUAGAAUAUGUUAAUCAUGUAAGGAGAGUUUUCAAAGUGUUAAAGGAAAACAAACUAGAAUAAGUUUUCCACAUCUAUUGAUGCUAAGCAGUAAGUCCUGUUGAGCUAGAUAUCGGAGCAAAUUAUCAAAUAACAACUAAUUCAGCAUGUGAAUGUUCUUAUGUGGUUGAAAGUAAAGAGUUUGAUUUUUGCUUCUUCAAAAGUCACAGCAUCUAUAGAUUGGUGUAAUAGCUUAUUUACUUAUGAGAUGAUUUUUGCUUCUUCAAAAUUUCUUAAGUAAGAACUGCCGAACAAGAUGUUCAUAUAUCCCACCAGGGCCUAGAGUCCAUACAUUCCCUUAACCUUGAUGCAACAUGUUUACAAUCUAUUCUUUUACUUUUAGGGUGCGUUUGGUUCACGCUAUCUCUUUAAGAUUCCUAAUAAUCUAAUAUGAAUAAAAAAAUAUGACGGUGUUUGGCUAAACGCACUAAGUAAUCUAGUUGGUAAUAUUGGAUUUACUUGGGAAUGAGAUUCAUCCCAAACUACUAAUCUUAUUUUCUUGAGGGAGGGUGGGUAUCCUCAUAUUAAUAGAUUGGGAUAAUUAUAAUAUGUCUAAUCUCUUUCUUCACCCUACCCGCUGAUUAGUUGGUUUUAUUUUUCUUUAUGCUCCAACCUCAUAUCUUUCUCCAAACUUAUCCUUUUCUCUCUAAACUUUAACUAUUUUUCUCUCUCUCAACUAAGCUCUCUCUCCCCCUCUUUUUCUAAUAUAUCAACUCUCUCACUCCCUAUAAUCUCGACUCUAUUUUUCUUCCUAUUUCUUUAAUUAUAUUCUUUCUCUCUCUAAUCUAUGUUCUCUUUUCCUUUUUUCUAAAAAGAUGUUGAAAUUUUUUAUGGCAUUAUCUAAAAUUAAUUAAAAAAUAAAUAAAUUAAUUGUAUAUUUUUUUGUAAACUUAAAUAACAUGACUAAAUAAUAUGACCGUGCGAACCAAACACAGCAAUGCCACAUUCUUAGUAAUAUGAUGAAUAGGAAUAAGAUUCUCGGACAUCUUUUUAUUGCUAGUAAUCUUUCAUAGUGCGAACCAAACGCACCCUAAUUAAGUCAAUUCCACCAAUCUUGGGCCUAUGUAUCUCAAAUUUCAAUUAAUUACUAGCUUCACCAUCCUUGAAUAUUAGCUAUAUUUGAUAUAUAGCCCAAAUUUCUUGUGCCCUUCUUAUUAACCAAAUCAUUACGUACAAAUCAUAUGUAACUUCAACACUAAUGUCAUGACAAAUGCAUCAUACAUGCGUAUACAAGUUACUGUCACCAACUAAUUAUACAACAUCGAUCAAACAAUUAAUAUUCACAUAGUCCUUGCUUACACAUAACAAAGUGCAAGGAUAUCCACAUAAUAUUCCUUCAAAUGAAAUCUCACCAAUUAGUUAAUUUAGCUGUAGGCUCGUGCCAUGCACUAGAUCUAAACAUUAAUAUUCAUGUCUCCAAAUUAAAUUACUGCAAUUUAUCAAAUCAAGGUCGGAACAAAUAAAUUAAAAACAUGCAACAUAUAUGCAAGUGAAUCGAUCAACCACACUCAUUUGUAUUUUUCAUUUGCCUACACAUGAAACUUGAUAAAUAUAUAUAUAUAUCACUUUUAGUGAACUACAAAAGUGCUACAAGGAUCGUCGACGUCCCUUUCCUUCACUAUGAAUCGAUAAAAUCUAUGAACACGGUUUCGGGGAAUCAUGUGACAGCAAUACGCGAACUCUUCGUCAUUCAUGACGUCGUUCGCUGCGAACUUAUACGCUAGCUGUUUGAUCAGAUCCUGCGAAAUUCGAUACCUCAGUGUUAGUUAUUUCGGUUACUAAAUAAAACAGCUAGACUAUGAAGUUGCACAUUUUAGUGAAUUUAAUUAAAGUUUUACGAGAAUCGACGUCUCUUUCGUUACAAUAUGAAUCGAUAUGAUAGAUACGGUCUCAGAGAGUCGUGUGGCAGCAUAAUGCAAACUUUUCGUCAUUCAUGACGUUCGCAUCGAACUUACGCACUAGCUGUUUGAUCGUAUCCUGCGCGCGAAACUUGAUCCCUCGAACAAAUAUAGUAUUAAUUGUUUCGAUUACUAAAAAACUAACUAAUGUUUCUAUGUUUGUUUCCAGUUGUUUAAAGCCUGCAACUUACUCUUAAAAUACUCCAAGAAUUUAGAACAUGUCCUCCUGAAAAGAGGUGGGGACAAGGAAUAUGAUCCAAACAACAUCACAAUUUAGUUGUUGGGUCGUAGCAUGCAAUAAUUUUCAUUGCUCUUUCCUGGAUACAAUGCGCAACAAAGCUUGAAGAACAUUCCUUUUAAUUACUUUUUAUAAUGAAAUUCCAUUUUCAGUGCAUUUGGUUAAUUUCCCUAGAAGAAGCUAGUUGUAAAGCAUUAAUUCUAGGGUGGAGUUUAAUAAGAAACAAUUCCAUGAAAUUAUUUUGUGUAUAUAUGUAUCUGAAAUUUUGGUUGGUAUUAAUUAAUUAGAUGCGAAUCAAAUGAUCUAACCAUUCGCAAUCUUAUUUUUAACUGGAACAAUUUUCAUGGCACUUUUAUAUGCAAAGAAAAUGAAAACCGGUGCACUAAUAUCAUGAGUUCAAUGAUAGAUGCUUGCCGAGUUAAUUUGAAUGUUGGAACGAGUAACUUUGUGAUAACUCAAGUAGUGUUGGAAUAUUCUUAUUAUCUCUUUUUAACCUAGUUGUUUGAUUUUAGUAUAAUACAAAGUACGCAUUUUCAAAAUAAUAUGCUCCACCUACAAAGCAUCAUCUUAUUAUAAAAAAGAUGAAAAUGACUAGAGGGCGCGCCUAAACAGCGUUGAGAGAGAAGAAACGAAUUUUUUUUUUUUAUAAAUAAUCCUAUUGAUUUUUAUAAUUAAAAAAAUAAUUUUUUUAAAAAAAUAAUUAUAAAAAUAGACCUCUAAAUGCAGUGAAUGAUUCACCGCAUUCAUAACUCCUCAUUAGGAGUAGAAAAUAGAGUAAAAGCGGUGAACCAUUCACCGCUUUUACCAUGGUAGAAAUAUAAAAAGAAGUGAGAAAAAGAAAGAAAGCAGUGAAUGGUUUACCGCUUUUACAGGACCAUAUUUAUAUAUAAAAAUUUAACAAGUCUAUUUUUAGAAUAAAAAUUUGGAAAAAGAUUAUUGUACUAAAAAACCCGAGAAGAAACACAAAGACGAAAAGAGAUCGAGAUAUGUGAAGAGCAAAGUUCUUCGACAAAUACAAAAAUAUUAUUAAUCAACUCUAAGAACUAAUUACAUUAACUAACACCACAUCUAUAUAUAGGGUUGAUACAUGAAUCCUAUAAUAAUUGAAGAUAAUAAAUUCUAAUAUAUUUUUAAACCUGAAACAAUCAGAAAUAACAAAAUAAUCAGAUGUAAAAUAGAAAAAAAUACAAAAUUUUUCGAAAAUAACUUAAAAAUACAAAAACGAAUGCCUAAAUUAUUGAAUUUUAGUUUCAGUCUCUAUCAGAACGAUUUUAAUUACCAUCUGACGCGUAGAUUUCAAAAAGUGUAUUCUGAAUUAGAGUUGUAUAUUAAAAAUGGACAUCUAAAUGAAAAGUUAUGAUCGUACGUUUAAAGAUUUUUCGUGCUAGUCCUAAAAAUUGCCAAACCCAACCAAAUUUUCGGCCUUGCUUGGAUGAGUCAUGUUUUUUUAAAAAAAAAACUCUAACAUUUGCCACUGAAUUCUUUUUUUAAUUUAACUUUCCGACAUUCAAUAAUUACAUUCCCAUGAGUAACAAGAGGUAUAUGUUAAACAAGAUGUUCAUACAUAUAUUCAACUACGUACUGUAAACUAACUAGAUUUUAUUUAUAACCAAAAUUCUUCUACCACAACAUUAAUUUAUACUGAAACUAAGGAAGGAUGAUGCCAAGCUACUAAAUAAAGAUCUUUAAGUUUAUGAAUAUCAUAAAAUGUCACCUUUGUAUAUAUUAUAUACCCGCACAAAGUACGUGAACAUGAAUGUACUAAUUAGAAAUCAAGCUAUAUACAUCCACCAAAAAAUGAAUGAGUAUAUAUAUAUAGUAUAUAUAUUAUUGUCCAUUUCUCCAAAAUUUCAUCUUCAAGUAAAUAGCAUGACAUAUAAAGUUGAUUGUGAUAGUUGAUCAUUUUAUUUUAUUUACUUUCAUUGGUGCAACAAUCUAGCUAACAUAAGUAUUGCAACUAGGCCAUUAGAGCAUUAAUCCCUUAUUUAGUUAAAGUCUCUUUCAUAAUUUGAUAAAAAAACUACUCAUAUUUGUUGCUGUCACCUGAGACUGAUGCGAAUCAUCCGUCAUUCACGACGCGAGAGGAAGUUUAUGUGUCCAACUUAACAGGAACUAUCAGAUACCCAUUAAAUCCAUCGUUAACGUUGUUUUGAGAUUCAGACGUUUCACAUGAUAGAUGAUGAAUUCGAUACCCUCGUGCCGUAUUACACUACAACAGAAUUAGGUUAUAGAAACACAUAUUUGGAACACUUUUGAGUAAGUGUCUCAUUUAUCCUAAAACUUAAAAAAAUAUCUACUAAUGCCUAAAUAUAAAGCCCAAUCCAACCAAAAAUAAAAGAUUACUCUACUCAACUCACCACACCCAGUCCAUUUGGCCCGAUUAUAAACAGAAAAAAAAAGAAAAGAAAAAUCAAUUACCAUCUUUUCUUCUCUCUUCACUCAAUCCACUGAAAUUCUAGACGAAGAGCCUUUCUUGUCGUCCUCCUUCGCCACCGCAGUCAACGAGAUAGAGUUUCGGCGGUUGCUAAAUACUUAAAUAAGUGUUGGUAAAUUAGCAGCACUCUUUUAGGUUAUAGCGACACACUUUAACUGUCACUAUAUACCUAACGACCCCACAUAUAACAACACUUUUUAAAAGUGUCGGUAAUUUUAGCUAGCAGCACUUUUUUGACAUGUACCUACAUUUAAAAGUGUCGCUAUAGACUAUUUUUGUUGUAGUAUAAUUAGGCUCAUUAGAUUUUUGUUGCU
rnacentral:lncRNA from 1 species